UUUAAGCGCAUACAUGAGUUUUCGCGUCUAAUUAUGAUCGUCUACCUUAUAUGAAUUUUUUUUAUGAUUAGUAUUUUUAUUGUUAUUAGAUGAUAAAACAUGAAUAUUACUUUAUGUGUGAUUUACUCCCUCUAUCCCUAAGGGCAUGUUCACUUUGAUGAAAAAAAAACCUUACC
rfam:Oryza nivara chromosome 8, whole genome shotgun sequence.